UACAGAGGUCCCAAGCGUUGUUCGGAUUCAUUGGGCGUAAAGGGUGCGUAGGUGGCGCUGUAAGUCGGGUGUGAAAUUUCGGAGCUUAACUCCGAAACUGCAUUCGAUACUGCGGUGCUUGAGGACUGGAGAGGAGACUGGAAUUCAUGGUGUAGCAGUGAAAUGCGUAGAUAUCGAGAGGAACACCAGUGGCGAAGGCGAGUCCCUGGACAAAACCUGACACUGAGGCACGAAAGCUAGGGGAGCAAACAGG
rnacentral:rRNA from 1 species